GCGAGUGAAGCGGGAAGAGCUCAAAUUUGAAAUCUGGCAGUCUUCGAUUGUCCGAGUUGUAAUCUAUAGAGGCGUUUUCCGUGCCGGACCGUGUCCAAGUCUCCUGGAAAGGAGUAUCAAAGAGGGUGAUAAUCCCGUACUUAACACGACCACCGGUGCUCUGUGAUACGUCUUCUACGAGUCGAGUUGUUUGGGAAUGCAGCUCAAAAUGGGUGGUGAAUUCCAUCUAAAGCUAAAUAUUGGCGAGAGACCGAUAGCGAACAAGUACCGUGAGGGAAAGAUGAAAAGCACUUUGGAAAGAGAGUUAAACAGUACGUGAAAUUGUUGAAAGGGAAACGAUUGAAGUCAGUCGUGUUCUUUGGAUUCAGCCAGUUCUGCUGGUCUACUUCCUUGGAACGGGUCAACAUCAGUUUUGUCCGGUGGAUAAAGGUAGUAGGAAUGUGACUUCUCCGGAAGUGUUAUAGCCUAUUAUCACAUACACUGGGUGAGACUGAGGACUGCAGCUCGCCUUUAUGGCCGGCCUUCGGGCACGUUCGAGCUUAGGAUGUUGACAUAAUGGCUUUAAACGACCCGUCU
rnacentral:rRNA from 1 species